ensembl:snRNA U6 U6 spliceosomal RNA
GUGCUCCCUUCGGCAGCACAUAGGCUAAAAUGGGGCCAAUACAGAGAAGAGUAGCUUGGUCUUUGCGUGAGGAGGGCAUGCACUUUCCUAAAGCGUUCCAUGUUAAA